rnacentral:rRNA from 1 species
UACGGAGGGAGCUAGCGUUGUUCGGAAUUACUGGGCGUAAAGAGCGCGUAGGCGGUUUAUCAAGUUUGGGGAGUGAAAUCCUGAGGCUUAACCUCAGAACUGCUUCCAAAACUGAUAAACUAGAGAACGAUAGAGGAUGGUGGAAUUCCUAGUGUAGAGGUGAAAAUUCUUAGAUAUUAGGGAGGAACACCGGUGGCGAAGGCGGCCAUCUGGGUCGUUUCUGACGCUGAGGCGCGAAAGCGUGGGGAGCAAACAGG